GCCGUUCCCGAGCGCUGCAAAACGCACCAAAGGCAGCCAAAAUUCUCCGAAAAAAAGUCAGGGAAAGCCCCGCAUGCACCAGGACUGGAGCCUGGGCAGAAUGUCAGCAGCAGGGUGCUGACUCACACUGCACAAACACACAGCUCACCUGGAGUUGGUCACACUCCUGACUGGACAACGCUGGACUUAUAGACUUGCUUGAGGUGCUGACCUCAGACAGCUGCAGGACUGCUGAGAGCUCUCCAGCCCCAGUACUGAGCCACCGUCUGAAUCAAGAACUCGUAUACUGUACCACACCUGCGACAGAUGCCCCUGUUGCGGGUCAGAUCUCGCCCCUCUUACAAAACGCCCUGGAUAUUGAAACAAGACCUCCCGCAAAAUGAAAAAAGCCAAGUGGUAAGUCACAGGGCCGGGAAAGGAGACACUGCAGUUGAGAAGUCUUGGCUUGGGGCUGGGUGAGAUGCACCCCCUCUUCUUUCCACUUCGUUUUGUCCAGCUCAAAGGAGAAGAGACCAAAAUUUGUCGGCGGCUGGCCCCGGCCACCCAAGCAGACUGGAGCAUGCACAGCUUGGGCACAGGAACCCAUUCCCAGCAUGGCCUGGCCCAGCAUGGCAGCCUGUCUGGUCCAAGCCAGCGUCUGUCCGCAAGAACAGUGUGACAAGGAAGCAAGAGGGACGCCCUGUCCUCCCUCGUGCCUCAGCAAUAAACCCCACACAAGGCGUAACUGGAAGGCUGCUUUAUUAAGAAAAAAGUUCGUGCUCAAAUGAAGACAAUCUUUCAGAAGAUCUUACUAAGAGUCCGGUGUUGGUGCAACACGUUGUAUGUCUUUUCUCCUACUUUAUUUUUUAUUUUUUUACUUUUAGUGGCAAAUGAUAACAACAAUGAAAAAAGCAUUUUUCUGUUAUUUUUCAGCGGGGAAAAAAACAAAAAUAGCAUUUCCAUCAUGCUACAAAAAUAAACUAAAUAGAUCCAAUAAAGAAAUAUCCAUACAAAAAUAAAUCAACAGAUGUCGUUGUAAAUCAGAUGAAAGCUGAAAGGCAAGCUGCUGUCUCGAAAGCCAGGUGACUGGAACACACAAGAGUGCAGAAACACAUUGCAUGUUAGUUUUACCAUUGAGCAUUUUCUCUUUGUUUCUACUCAGGCAGUAUUGCGGACACCUCUAAUUGUGGUCAAUGUCAGGACCCCUAAGUCACAUUUGUGCUCCGUAUAUUGGCUCCCGCGGUUUGUUGGGGUCUGAAGUUGGCGAAAAGCAGAUAAAGGCACAGGCUGUUGGGGGAAAACUGUGCCAAGAGCAAGAUGAACACAAGGAGGAAGCUUGCUGGCACGGAAUGGGGGCAGAGGGUCAGGGCUGGGGAGUGGGUGGGUAAGCAAAGGAGUAGGAUUUGGGGGGCACCAGCAGAUAAAAUUAGGUUUAGUGGGUCCAGGUGGGUGAUUUUUUUAUUUUGAGGGGGAGGAGGAGAUGACAUCACGUACAAAAGCUGUGCAAAAUAGUGCAAUUCUCGCGGGCGGGGGCUAGGGGGGUGUCCCAUUAACUGGCCCGUGCAGGGACAAACAGAUGAUGAGUCGGGUGCACUGCACGUGAGAAAGCACCAACGCCUUUGUCUGCAGGGCCUCUUCCUCUCCGACGCAGGGUGGGGAUGAGGGGAAGGUGUUCAUACAGACUUUUUUUCGUUUCCCCUCUAUAGUGUUGGACAGUGUCUCACAAUAAGAUGACGAAAAAAAUGAACAGAUGUGACCAGGGCAUCAGCUGGAAGCCAUUCUAUUUUUAAUUAUCAGAGUAAUACUAGUACUGUAGUAGUAAUAUUUUUUAUUUCUGUAUUUACAAAAAACGCAUGCUGAUAAAAUAAAAAUAUAUUACAUUAUUUAUAGCAGUCUCUUAAAAAGUUCAUCCUUAACUUUUCAGCGUUUUUUUUGUGCCGUUUACAAUAUAGCCUGCACUGUACAUAUAUUUAGUUUUAUGUUGCUUAUGGACGAAUGUGUUUUUACACGCUGUGUCCCAGAUGGGCACGGGAAAGUCAGACGGCGUUUGGAACGGUUCUUCGUUAGUUUAUUUGGUACAAAUUAAUGAGCAACACUAGUUUGGAGACGUCAUGCAACAGCUGGAUCAAAGAACUCCAGAGCCGCCACGCCCCCCGGCCGGAAGUGGGCAGUUUUUCCGAUUGGCACGCCACAGGAAGUGCAGCCGAAAGCUCUCGUGAGCAUUUGUCCAUACAAAACAUGGAAGACACGGCCAGGUACUCUGUAUUUGGCAUCAUCCCUCCAGAGUUUUCGAGAGAACCCAUUAUAAAAAUAUCACAGAUUGUACUAGUUAUAACCCGAGAGCUCUGUAGCUUACGCUGACCAGCACAGACACAGGCUCUCACAAAACAGCUUCUCCAGGUGCUUCUGGAGGAGUCUUGGGAGUCAAAACUCUAAUUUUGGCAAUUUAUCCCUUCUAUCACUCCUUUAUGCCAGAUCCAUUUUCUCCCUUCCUUCGUGUCUAAAAGCACACAACUCCAGUGCUGGGGCUGUUGCAUACGCUACCAAACCCACUUGGAAUUGUCUUCAAACUAGUUCUGGCUUGCAAGGCACUGGCUGACACUGAACCUCUUUAAUCACUCCUGGAAGAAUGACCAUGACUUUUUUGUGCCCUCAUGCACUCACACAUUGAGAUCUGCUGUUGGGACCCUCAGUGCAGGCCAGCACCCAUUGAUGAGCUUCACAAGCAGGCAUGAAAAAUCUGCUAUUUGGCCCUUUGUUUCUUCAUUUCCCAACAGGAAGACUGGGAAAAAAAGCCUCCUGUUCAACCUUCCAUGGAAGGAGCUGUAAGAUUGCAUUGUGUAUUGCAUUGUUCUCUUGAAGCAAGAAUAACCCAACCUGCCCCUUUCUCUCCCAAACUCGGGAUUGAUUUCCCGGAGCCCAUCCAGGAGCCUCAUGUCCAGCUACUGCAUGACGACACCAGGAGACGAGGAAUCGGAUGGCAAUUGGCUUUUCCUCCAUCUCCUCCGAUCCGUAUCUUCACAAGCCUGCUUUCCACUCUGACAAACCUGUGCUCUCCCUCUUCUUCUCCUUUUGACAUUUGUACGGUCCUGUUAUUUUCUUUUUGCCGAAAUGCUUCAAGAUUAAAACCAACCGCGACUGUAAAUAAAAAUGAAAUUGCACUGAAAGGACACCAUGGCUACUGAAGCAUAGAAUCCGGCGCGGCGUCCAGGUUACGACACUGCCAGACUGGGAUCUGGAUGGGCACAGCGGGUGGGGGUGGGGUGGGGAGCAAUGUGAAAUAAACACGAGAGCAGGAAAGGAGUAGACAAAAAACAGGCAACAGCUCCUGCUCACAGCACGCACAUCCCGGCACUGUUGCCUUACUCCAGCCUGACUGCAGCACCUUGGAAGAGGGUAAAACAAAAACAUCAGCAGCGCCCUCCCCUCGAACCCCUGCCCCAGCACCAGCUGAGGGCCUCCUCUCAAACAGCAACAACCAGGAGACAGACAGACCUCAGGUCAAAAGUCAGCAAAACAUCAUAUUGCAGGAUACAAAUGAGCAGUUUCUAAAGCCCAGGGUGUCUGUUGUACAGGGUUUGCUUUGCCUUUUUACUUUGUCGU